rnacentral:rRNA from 1 species
CAAUAGCGUAUAUUAAAGUUGUUGCGGUUAAAAAGCUCGUAGUUGGAUUUCUGCUGAGAACGACCGGUCCGCCCUUUGGGUGUGUAUCUGGCUCUUUCUUGGCAUCUUCUUGGUGAACGUUGCUGCACUUGACUGUGUGGAGCGCUACCCAGGACUUUUACUUUGAGGAAAUUAGAGUGUUUCAAGCAGGCAUACGCCUUGAAUACAUUAGCAUGGAAUAAUAAGAUAGGACCUCGGUUCUAUUUUGUUGGAUUCUAGAGCUGAGGUAAUGAUUAAUAGGGAUAGUUGGGGGCAUUCGUAUUUAACUGUCAGAGGUGAAUUUCUUGGAUUUGUUAAAGACGGACUACUGCGAAAGCAUUUGCCAAGGAUGUUUUCAUUGA